rnacentral:rRNA from 1 species
GACAGAGGUGCCAAGCGUUAGGCGGAAUCACUGGGCUUAAAGCGUGUGUAGGCGGACUGGUAAGUACCUUGUGAAAUCCCACGCUUAACCGUGGAACUGCUCGGUAUACUGCCGGUCUUGAGCCACCUAGGGGCGAGCGGAACAAAUGGUGGAGCGGUGAAAUGCGUAGAUAUCAUUUGGAACGCCAAUGGUGAAAAACAGCUCGCUGGGGGGUGUGCUGACGCUGAGACACGAAAGCCAGGGGAGCAAAACGGG